GUGAAAUUCUUGAAUGAAAUCUUACUUUGACGUAUGUAUUAUUUUGCGCAAUAUUUACGUCCAAGAAAACUCCCAGAAAGCAGGAAAAUUAAAGGAAAUUCCAGUAGAAUUCAAUCAUUAACCUUUUCUUGGGUUUCCAAAGGAUCAAUUGGUGCAAUAAGAUUGUGAAUUAGUGAAGGAAGUAUCGUGGAAAUAGGAGUGAAAAUUUAGUGCAUCUGUUGCAUGAUCCGGAAUGAUUUCGCAUAGUUUUCAAAGUAAAACUAAAUCACAGGAAAUGGCUAGUGAGGUGAUUUUAUUCGGCUUCCUGCUCCCAUAAAAUUGAGAUCGAGUUAAAGAAAAUAUAUCUCAUUCUAGAGAAGAAAGCUCUCAGCCUCUCAAUAAAUGAUACUAAUUGAUCCGGAAGAGGCAAUUCACAAUGAGUCAAGGGCAAUCUCUGUAAACUGUGAACCCUAAAACUAAAAGAAAAUUGGAUUUUAUUUUUUGACGAUUAACUCUUUACUUAAGGAAGUAUAAUCAUUCCUGAAGAAUUACCAAAACUAUAACAUUUUCCUCUUGAUGGACCCUCUAAAUAAAGAAGGACCAUGAAGACCUCUUGACUUUCGAGCUAAUUACUCGAUUCCAAUUAAAAAUCAACAACAAAAUUUGCAAAAAUCUUCGCAGAUACAAUUAAAUCGAGUAGAAAAAAAUAUUCUGGCAUAAGAAAACAACUCCAUAUGAACAAAUAAAAAAAUACGCUGACUCGCUAUUUGUAUUUCCAUACAAGGCUUUGCGAGAGAGAGUAGACUGAAAACUCAAAACAAAGAUCACGAGGAUUCCGAAGUUGAGAACAAUGACUGUGGGCAGAAAUAUUUAAGAAGGGGCUAAUCGAUGAAGAGGCAGAAGCCAUCGAGAGAUAGAGUGAUGAAGGAGCACGGGAAUACGAGCAAACCCUUCCACUGUGAGAUCUGCGACAAGCAGUUCCGUCAGCUCUCAACACUCAUGAACCAUCUGAAAAUCCACACGGGUGAGAAGCCCUUUGAAUGUGACAUCUGCAAGAAGCAAUUCCGGCAGUCUAGUACACUCACGAAUCACGUGAAAAUUCACACGGGCGAGAAACCCUUUAGUUGCACAUACUGCGCCAAACAAUUCCGGCAACUGUCCACACUCACGAAUCACAUAAAAAUUCACACGGGUGAAAAGCCCUUUGAGUGUGCUGUCUGCAAAAAACAAUUCAGACAGUCUAGCACCCUAAAUAACCACAUCCGGGUCCAUGUUAGUGAAAAGAUAAUUAUUAUCAAUUGAAAAUGAUCUAAAGAUCAUUCAACCCCUGCCUGCGUACACCUUUCCGGCACCAUCUUUAUAGACUGCUAGACUCCGCAGAAUUCAUCGAGGCGAUAGUAACGUGUGAGUGCAACAAUAUACUUUUACAGGGCCAUUUGCUAUUGUAGAAAUAUGUAUAGCAUAAAAUAAAAAAAGUUUAAAAGAUAAAAAGAAAAAAUGUAGAAGAGAGAGAUCCCAAAACGAUGUAAAUUGUAAAGUGAUGUGAAUAUAUAUAUUUAAAAAUGUUUUCUAUAAAA